GCUAAGGCCGAUGGCGACCGGCGCACGGGUGAGUAACGCGUAUCCAACCUGCCUUACACUCUUGGACAGCCUUCUGAAAGGAAGAUUAAUACAAGAUGGCAUCAUGAGUCCGCAUGUUCACAUGAUUAAAGGUAUUCCGGUAGACGAUGGGGAUGCGUUCCAUUAGAUAGUAGGCGGGGUAACGGCCCACCUAGUCUUCGAUGGAUAGGGGUUCUGAGAGGAAGGUCCCCCACAUUGGAACUGAGACACGGUCCAAACUCCUACGGGAGGCAGCAGUGAGGAAUAUUGGUCAAUGGGCGAGAGCCUGAACCAGCCAAGUAGCGUGAAGGAUGACUGCCCUAUGGGUUGUAAACUUCUUUUAUAAAGGAAUAAAGUCGGGUAUGCAUACCCGUUUGCAUGUACUUUAUGAAUAAGGAUCGGCUAACUCCGUGCCAGCAGCCGCGGUAAUACGGAGGAUCCGAGCGUUAUCCGGAUUUAUUGGGUUUAAAGGGAGCGUAGAUGGAUGUUUAAGUCAGUUGUGAAAGUUUGCGGCUCAACCGUAAAAUUGCAGUUGAUACUGGAUAUCUUGAGUGCAGUUGAGGCAGGCGGAAUUCGUGGUGUAGCGGUGAAAUGCUUAGAUAUCACGAAGAACUCCGAUU
rnacentral:rRNA from 1 species